rnacentral:rRNA from 1 species
AACUCUACAAUGCAGGCAACUGCGAUAGGGGAACAUCGAGUGAUCCUCAUAUUGGGUCUGUCCACCGCGCGGGUGUAGCAAGGGCCGGCAAGACCGGUGCCAGCCGCCGCGGUAAUACCGGCGGCUCGAGUGGUGGCCGAUAUUAUUGAGUCUAAAGGGUCCGUAGCCGGCUUUGAAGUCUCUCGGGAAAUCCAGCGGCUUAACCGUUGGUCUCCGGGGGUACUACAUUGCUUGGGACUGGGAGAGGUAGGAGGUACUCAGGGGGUAGGAGUGAAAUCCUGUAAUCCUUUGGGGACCACCGGUGGCGAAGGCGUCCUACCAGAACAGUCCGACGGUGAGGGACGAAAGCUGGGGGCACGAACCGGAUUAGAUACCCGGGUAGUCCUAGCCGUAAACGAUGCUCGCUAGGUGUCACAUGGUGCCGUAGGGAAGCCGUGAAGCGAGCCACUUGGGAAGUACGACCGCAAGGUUGAAACUUAAAGGAAUUGGCGGGGGAGC